CUCAUUCCGUGUUACAGGAUUUCUUUCUUACUUCGCCACCAGUAAGUCGUAUGGUCCCUGAACGACUCUGAGAGUAGGACUCUAUCCCAGAAACCCCUGCAGCCUCAGUGGGGCAAGUCUGUGGCAGCCACUGUCCCAGGUGCUGAAUCAAAUGGCCGCACUCCUGCCCCCUCCACCUCCUCUUAUUAUUGAGGACCCUCUUGAUCUCCAUUUCCUAGAACAUUUAGGUGAAAAUGAAGUCCUGGAUCA
rnacentral:lncRNA from 1 species